rnacentral:rRNA from 1 species
GAGUGAUCUGUUUGAUUAAUUGCUUUUCAUAUUUACGAAUGUCGCAUACGUGAUUGCUGCAGACCUCGUCUCCUCUGGAGGCGACGCGUCUCUUCAACUCACUCGCACAUUCUCUUGAACGCAACGAGCGUGACCGCAACCUCUUGUUGUGUAUACCAAGUGUGGCGCUGGCUUGCCAGCUCGCACUACAAUGCACGUAUUUUGGUCACAUCUCUCGCGGCGCCUCGGCGGUUGCAGCAAUGUCCAAAUAAACUGAG